rnacentral:rRNA from 1 species
GUCUACAGACUUGCCACCCUGAACAAGCCCGAUCCCAUCUGAUCUCGGAAGCUAAGCAGGGUCGGGCCUGGUUAGUACUUGGAUGGGAGACCACCUAGGAAGACCAGGUGCUAUAGGUA